GGCGGGGCGGCCAGGCUCCUCUGUUCUCAGGAGAGAUCAGGAGUUUGGAUUUUAUUCUGAUUGUGAUGGGAAAUCACUGGAGGGUUUUACGCAGGGACAAGGCUUGAUCCUACUUACACUUUUAAUAGAUUAUCCUGCUGUGUGGAGGAUGGAUUGUAGGAGAGCAGAGUAGAAGCAGGAAGACCAGUUGGAUCGGACCAAGCUUCACAUCUUGUCUGCUGGUUCCUUCUCAACAACAUUUAAACAGUGUCGAGUCUCCAGAAGUUCCUCUCCUAGCCAGCUGCCACGUCCUGGGACAGCUCCGUGGAGCAGCUCGGGUGGCAAGGCCUGUCAUGACCACACGAGUCGGCUCAGAAGUGGGUCCCCCCCCACCACAGUUGUGCCUUCAGAUGAGACUGCAGCCCCAGCAGACCCCUUGACUACAACCUCAUAAGAUGUGAGCCAGAGGCGCCCAGCUGAGCCAUGCCUGGGCUGACCCACAGAAGCUGGGAGAUGACACAUGGUUAUUGUUUUUAAGCUGCCAAGUUUUGGGGUACCUUGUUA